ACCCCCCACACAAACCCUUUCCCGCGCGCGAGACGCCCCAAGGAAUCAAAAACGAAAAGACAGGGAACGGGCGGCCCCCUCGAGUGCCAGUAGACGGAUCUCUCACGGGCGGCCCAUUCCCGUUCGGAAACAAAACCACUCUCCGCAACGGAUAUCUCCGCUCUCACAUCAAUAAAGAACGUAGCGAAAUGCUAUACUUGGUGUGAAUUGCAGAAUCCCGUGAACCAUCGACUCUUUGAACGCAAGUUGCCCCCGACGCCUUCGGGUCGAGGGCACGUCUGCCUGGGUGUCGUGCAUCCUCCCCCCUCCCCAUCCUUCCGGCUCCCCCCGAGGGAGAAAAGGGGGGUACGGGACGGCCGCGGAAAGUUCUCCCCUGCGCUCCCCCUCUCGCUUUGGCCGAAAUCCUUUUUUUUCGCCCCAUAACUCCCCC
rnacentral:rRNA from 1 species